rnacentral:rRNA from 1 species
UACGAAGGGGGCUAGCGUUGUUCGGAAUUACUGGGCGUAAAGCGCGUGUAGGCGGGGCUUUAAGUCAGGGGUGAAAUGCCAAGGCUCAACCUUGGAACUGCCUUUGAUACUGGAGAUCUUGAGUCCGGGAGAGGUGAGUGGAAUUGCGAGUGUAGAGGUGAAAUUCGUAGAUAUUCGCAAGAACACCAGUGGCGAAGGCGGCUCACUGGCCCGGAACUGACGCUGAGACGCGAAAGCGUGGGGAGCGAACAGG